rnacentral:tRNA from 2 species
CGCGUAGUGGAGCAAUUGCUUAGCUCGUCAGGCUCAAGACCUUAAGGGGUUAGAGGUGCAAAUCCUGUCUCCGCAA